rnacentral:rRNA from 1 species
UACAGAGGUCUCGAGCGUUAGGCGGAAUCACUGGGCUUAAAGCGUGUGUAGGCGGGUCGUUAAGUGGCUUGUGAAAUCCCAUGGCUCAACCAUGGAACUGCUGGGCAUACUGGCGAUCUUGUGCCACCUAGGGGCGAGCGGAACAGAUGGUGGAGCGGUGAAAUGCGUAGAUAUCAUCUGGAACGCCAAUGGUGAAAACAGCUCGCUGGGGGUGUGCAGACGCUGAGACACGAAAGCCAGGGGAGCGAACGGG